AUGAACUUUGGUUGGUCACCAAGACUCACCACAAAUGGCAGUCUAUUGAGGUUUUGUGACAGAGGCCAGAGAACAGCAGAGGUUUACGAGGGUGGAGAGAGAACAAAGAGUUCGGGCAGAUCCACAGACUCUGAAAUGAAAAUUGACACCAAGCCAUUGACCCUAAGGCUGGAUCCUCCACCAGAGAACAGU